rnacentral:rRNA from 1 species
UGGGGAAUAUUGCACAAUGGGCGCAAGCCUGAUGCAGCCAUGCCGCGUGUGUGAAGAAGGCCUUCGGGUUGUAAAGCACUUUCAGCGAGGAGGAAGGUGGUGAGCUUAAUACGCUCAUCAAUUGACGUUACUCGCAGAAGAAGCACCGGCUAACUCCGUGCCAGCAGCCGCGGUAAUACGGAGGGUGCAAGCGUUAAUCGGAAUUACUGGGCGUAAAGCGCACGCAGGCGGUUUGUUAAGUCAGAUGUGAAAUCCCCGGGCUCAACCUGGGAACUGCAUUUGAAACUGGCAAGCUAGAGUCUCGUAGAGGGGGGUAGAAUUCCAGGUGUAGCAGUGAAAUGCGUAGAGAUGUGGAGGAAUACCGAUGGCGAAGGCAGCCCCCUGGGCCAAUACUGACGCUCAUGCACGAAAGCGUGGGGAGCAAACNGGAUUAGAUNCCCUGGUAGUCCACGCCCUAAAGG